GACGAACGCUGGCGGCGUGCUUAACACAUGCAAGUCGAACGGAAAGGCCCUGCUUGCAGGGUACUCGAGUGGCGAACGGGUGAGUAACACGUGGGUGAUCUGCCCUGCACUUCGGGAUAAGCUUGGGAAACUGGGUCUAAUACCGGAUAGGAGCCAUCUUUAGUGUGGUGGUUGGAAAGUUUUUUCGGUGUAGGAUGAGCUCGCGGCCUAUCAGCUUGUUGGUGGGGUAAUGGCCUACCAAGGCGGCGACGGGUAGCCGGCCUGAGAGGGUGUACGGCCACAUUGGGACUGAGAUACGGCCCAGACUCCUACGGGAGGCAGCAGUGGGGAAUAUUGCACAAUGGGCGCAAGCCUGAUGCAGCGACGCCGCGUGGGGGAUGAAGGCCUUCGGGUUGUAAACUCCUUUCGCUAGGGACGAAGCUUUUUUGUGACGGUACCUAGAUAAGAAGCACCGGCUAACUACGUGCCAGCCGCCGCCGUAACAC
rnacentral:rRNA from 1 species